rnacentral:rRNA from 1 species
UCAGAUUGAACGCUGGCGGCGUGCUUAACACAUGCAAGUCGCGCGUGAAAGGACUUCGGUCCGAGUAAAGCGGCGCACGGGUGAGUAACGCGUGGAUGAUCUACCCAUGAGUUAGGAAUAACGGCUGGAAACGGUCGCUAAUACCAAAUACGCUCCGAUUUCAACUUCGGGGGAAAGGUGGCCUCUGCUUGCAAGCUACUGCUCAUGGAUGAGUCCGCGUCCCAUUAGCUAGUUGGUGGGGUAACGGCCCACCAAGGCGACGAUGGGUAGCCGGUCUGAGAGGAUGACCGGCCACACUGGGACUGGAACACGGCCCAGACUCCUACGGGAGGCAGCAGUGGGGAAUAUUGCGCAAUGGGCGAAAGCCUGACGCAGCGACGCCGCGUGAGGGAUGAAGGUCCUCGGAUCGUAAACCUCUGUCAGGAGGGAAGAACCGCCACGGUGCUAAUCAGCCGUGGUCUGACGGUACCUCCAAAGGAAGCACCGGCUAACUCCGUGCCAGCAGCGGC